UGGGGUGACUGCGUACCUUUUGUAUAAUGGGUCAGCGACUUAUAUUCUGUAGCAAGGUUAACCGAAUAGGGGAGCCGGAGGGAAACCGAGUCUUAAUUGGGCGUUAAGUUGCAGGGUAUAGACCCGAAACCCGGUGAUCUAGCCAUGGGCAGGUUGAAGGUUGGGUAACACUAACUGGAGGACCGAACCGACUAAUGUUGAAAAAUUAGCGGAUGACCUGUGGCUGGGGGUGAAAGGCCAAUCAAACCGGGAGAUAGCUGGUUCUCCCCGAAAGCUAUUUAGGUAGCGCCUCGUGAAUUCAUCUCCGGGGGUAGAGCACUGUUUCGGCUAGGGGGCCAUCCCGGCUUACCAACCCGAUGCAAACUGCGAAUACCGGAGAAUGUUAUCACGGGAGACACACGGCGGGUGCUAACGUCCGUCGUGAAGAGGGAAACAACCCAGACCGCCAGCUAAGGUCCCAAAGUCAUGGUUAAGUGGGAAACGAUGUGGGAAGGCCCAGACAGCCAGGAUGUUGGCUUAGAAGCAGCCAUCAUUUAAAGAAAGCGUAAUAGCUCACUGGUCGAGUCGGCCUGCGCGGAAGAUGUAACGGGGCUAAACCAUGCACCGAAGCUGCGGCAGCGAACGUAUCACCCAAGACAACUUUACGGAGUUGACGAUUGACGGAGCGAAGCGACGUCAAAGCGUUCAUUAAAGUCGAGUUGGCUUAGGGAUACGUUCGUUGGGUAGGGGAGCGUUCUGUAAGCCUGUGAAGGUGUGUCGUGAGGCAUGCUGGAGGUAUCAGAAGUGCGAAUGCUGACAUAAGUAACGAUAAAGCGGGUGAAAAGCCCGCUCGCCGGAAGACCAAGGGUUCCUGUCCAACGUUAAUCGGGGCAGGGUGAGUCGACCCCUAAGGCGAGGCCGAAAGGCGUAGUCGAUGGGAAACGGGUUAAUAUUCCCGUACUUGGUGUUACUGCGAAGGGGGGACGGAGAAGGCUAUGUUGGCCGGGCGACGGUUGUCCCGGUUUAAGCGUGUAGGUGUGUGUUCCAGGUAAAUCCGGUU
rnacentral:rRNA from 2 species